rnacentral:lncRNA from 1 species
CGGAAAUCAUUCCUCCUCCACAUCACUUGUCCCCGUGACACUCGGGCCCGCAGUCGGCGGAGGACCAGGUCUCUAUCGGAGGGGAGCUUGUAGCACCGAAGCAUGGAGACAGCGGCAAAGCAGAGAAGAGUAGGGAAACCAGACGUUCAUCACGCCCGUCGUGUUCCAAAGUGUUAUCAGAAAAUGUCAAGUUCCAUCCAUGGAUGUGGCCACCUAGCCUGCGGGAUUAGGGCAUGACCUUGACAGCAUGCGCUAGGAGCUGGGGUGCCGCCGGGCAAAGAGAUCGCCAACCGUGUCUGGGUGCUGAAGACAACUUCUCCAUCAGCUUCGGGAAGACUGCAGGUUCCACGAGGACAAGGAGAAAGUCCACCUAUCGCCCAGCGUAUCUGCAGCUUCUAGGUGGUGGGAGGACCCGAAGGACACGGUGGGAAGUGGUUGAUGAAUAAGUGGCUUGAUUUAAAAGCCACAGAGAGGAAAAUGCACGUAUUCCUCUUCAUCUUUUAAUAAGUUGGCCAGGAAUAAAGAUGCAUCUUCACCGUCCUAAAACCUCGUGUUAACAGCGCUUAGGCUCUAGAGUGGGGCUUCCCUGGUGGCUCAGGU